UUUGUAAUCUGGCGUCUUUCAGGCGUCCGAGUUGUAAUCUAUAGAAGUGUUUUCCGUGCUGGACCAUGUCCAAGUCCCUUGGAACAGGGUAUCAAAGAGGGUGACAAUCCCGUACUUGACAUGACCACCAGUGCUCUGUGAUACACUUUCUACGAGUCGAGUUGUUUGGGAAUGCAGCUCAAAAUGGGUGGUAAAUUCCAUCUAAAGCUAAAUAUUGGCGAGAGACCGAUAGCGAACAAGUACCGUGAGGGAAAGAUGAAAAGCACUUUGGAAAGAGAGUUAAACAGUACGUGAAAUUGUUGAAAGGGAAACGAUUGAAGUCAGUCGUGUUCAUUGGACUCAGCCGGUUUUCGGUGUAUUUCCUUUGAACGGGUCAACAUCAGUUUUGUCCGGUGGAUAAAGGCAGGAAGAAAGUGGCUCCCUCGGGAGUGUUAUAGCUUUCUGUCACAUACACUGGAGGAGACUGAGGACUGCAGCUCGCCUUUUGGCCGGGGUUCGCCCACGUUCGAGCUUAGGAUGUUGACAUAAUGGCUUUAAACGAC
rnacentral:rRNA from 1 species